rnacentral:rRNA from 1 species
UACGUAGGUGGCAAGCGUUGUCCGGAAUUAUUGGGCGUAAAGCGCGCGCAGGCGGCCUUUUAAGUCUGAUGUGAAAGCCCACGGCUCAACCGUGGAAGGUCAUUGGAAACUGAAAGGCUUGAGUACAGAAGAGGAAAGCGGAAUUCCACGUGUAGCGGCGAAAUGCGUAGAGAUGUGGAGGAACACCAGUGGCGAAGGCGGCUUUCUGGUCUGUAACUGACGCUGAGGCGCGAAAGCGUGGGGAGCAAACAGG